rnacentral:lncRNA from 1 species
UUUUUUUUUUGGUCUUUUUUUUUUUUUUUUUUUGUCUUUUUUGUUGUUGUUGUUGUUAUUUCUUGGGCCGCUUCCGCGGCAUAUGGAGGUUCCCAGGUGCAGUCCUAAAAAGCAAAAGAAAAAAAAAAAUCAGGGAUAUACAUGAUGAAAAUUAUGAUUAUUAGUUAAAUUAUGAUUAUUAGGACAUAAAAAGACUUGACUAAAUGUCUCUAGAAGAAAUGUUACAAACGUGUUAAUUUUGACCAAGUGAAUUUACAAGUCCAAUAUUAUUACAAUAUCCCCAAGUUUUUAGAUGAAGAGAAUUAAACAAAGUAAUUCUUAAGUUUAAGUUAAUACUGAAUUGGAGAACAGUAGUUAAGACAAUAUUGAGAAAGAAUAAACAAGAAGUUUUACUAUGAACAAGGAAAGAACAGACCAUGGGUCAGCAAACUACAGCCAGUAGGUCAAAUCUGGCUGCAGCCAGAUUUUGCAUUCACUGUCUAUGGUUGACUCCCUGAGUCAAUAGUUGCAACAAAGAUUGUGUGGCUCACCAACCUAAUAUAUUUGCUAUCAGGAAUUUUACAGAAAACAUCUGCCAACCUUUGCAACACAUACUUUAAUUAAUUGUGCUGUCAUGUCCAUAGAUUUUUCUCUAAGGGAGCUCAUGAAGGCCAAGAGAAGGCAAAUUUACAAGGUAAUACAAUCCAUGGGUACCACAAGCAAGCAGAAGCUGGAAGGUAGAGAAAUAAAGGUUAGGGAAGCCAGUUAAUAGCAAAAGAAGCAUGAACAAUGGUAAGGAGAUUUAAAAAUACUGAUGCCCGGGCCACUUAAAUCACAAUAUCUCACCUGGUUUAUUUUUAAAGUUCCUCAGGUGAUUCUAAUGUUUAACUCUGAUAGAGAACCACUGAGUUAGAAAGAACAGCAAAUUCAGAGUGGCUGGGUGAUGUCAGUGAUGUAGCACAAGAGUAAUGAACCAAAAAUACCUGCUGUUAAGGUGCCCAGAGCUGCUAGAAUCCAAUUCCCGUACUCAAUACUGUUCCCACAUAUCAAUUCCCAUUAAAGCCCCAUCUUCCACAUUGUUCAACGUGUUUACAUACAAUAAACCCCUAUUAAUGAGGUAGGCUGAUUAACUUCUUUUCUUGAGACCAAAAGAGCCAACUUCAUAUAGAAAUUUCUAUCAGAAAUAUAGUUGCAUGAAAAAAACGCCCAGCAGAAAUGUAAAACACUUGGAAUUGAUAGGGUAUGACUAUAGAAUAAAAAAAUCAUACACAAUCUACCCCAUGUACCAGAGCGAAAUCUUUUUCAGAAGCCCAGUUUAUGUUGUAGCAAAGCCACUAAUUAUACAGCUGCCUUUGUGAUUCAUACCUGCACCCACUUAGGGUUAAGCACUGAGGCAAAUGGUAGUGACUGAUUACAGCAACUACAAAGAAAUAAGCCAAGCGGGGUUCAACAGUUGUUUCUCUUCUGACGAUGACAUGCAAAUUCUGAUAUAAUCACAAGGUAUCGACCCUGGAAAGCAUGACUUUGUCUCUGUUACAGCUAGAUAUGGUGCUGUUACCAUUCCAACAGGCAUGGAAUAACAUGGAUUAGACCAUAGGUUCCCAAGUUUGAGAACCAUUGGGCUAAAUGUGUCAGUUCAGGUUCCUACAAAUACAUAUUCACUCCCCUCUGAAGACCACCAUUCUAUCUAUUGUCACAGCUGUAGCACAGCCCUUAAUGACCAGCUUUUGUUUUACAUUAUCUAUUAUUACAUCCUCUCCACUGAGCACAGUUGAUGGGACAUACAUUGCCAGGAGCCUAUGACAUGUCUCAGCAUGAAAAAGCACUGCACAGAUAAACUAGGCCAAUUAAGAUUCUCAUUCUUUGGAAUUUGAGUAGAAACAAUGAAAACUAGGUCAUUAGCAGUGAAUGCUGAAGCUGAAAGCCUCGUCAAAGUAGGGCUUAGUGGCAAAUCCAGUCAUGAGGAAGAAAAAAUGAAGAUGGAAGAAUAGCUGAUCAAAUAGCUGGUCUCAUUCAAGUCAACAGAAAAGGUCUACAAAUCCCAAGUGAUUAAGAUUCCUAUGAAAUCCCUAUCUUCUUUACUCUGUCUUACUAUAUGAACCUAUAUGAUAAAUAUCCAUUUCUUUAGCUAACCCUGUGUCUUAUUUCUUGAAACCAGAAAUCCUAUGUAAUCAGAAAAUAGUGUAGAGUUGGGUUACAUAAACAGAACUUUGGUAGGACAUGGAAUAUUUAAACCUGUUUAUUACUUGGUGGUGGGACAGUAACAGACACACCCCACCACAACCCAGGCUAGAAUGUUAAGGGUCUACAGGAACUGUGGCAAAGUUACUAUUGCAAGACUACACAUCUCAUGAAGGUAAGUUUUGGUACAAUCACAACAGAGGAAAUUCAGUCACCAAGGAAGAUCAAAGAUAGGUGGAUGCUUCCAAAUUUGGCAGGCAAAUUUCUAAAGUGGCCUCAUGACAUCACUUCAGACUACAGUAUCUGGCUGUGACCUGGUUACUCUCUAACAUUUCUGCUUAAGAGCUGCUGGAAAAGUAUAAACAGAAGCAUCUUUAGAAAUGAAAAAAAUGAGAUGAAAGGUAUAUGUGCUCUGUGGUCAAGAUGUGGAAAUGCAAUACAAACACAUGUGAAUCAAGUGGUGGCUACACUCAAGUCCCAUCUAAGUUCAACUGUCCCACUCAGUUCUCGAGACAGGCAGUCCUAGUCCUAGAGUAAUGAAUUUUAGAAUAUGACCUGUCCUGUCAUCCCAAGCAGAAUGUACCAGAUAUGAGACACAGUACCCAAGUGUUAUGCCACUGUAAGACUCAAAAACUGACUACUCAAGCAAAGGUAAGCGAAGCCACUUAAACCCUUGCAUUGAAAAAUAAAGUUUGUGAAAUGCAGAAAGAGUGAGGCCCAUAGCAGAGGAAACAAUAUUCAAUAACAGUGCUGGGAAACAUGAGAUACAGCCAAAGACACUAGAGUAGUAAGCAAGGCUUAGUAAUGAAUAACUGAAAACUUAUGAGGAAGCAUAAUACAACAAAGCUAGGGAGUAAGCUAAAGCUUGAGUAUAUAAUGAGGAGGAAGGCAUGAAGGCAGAGAAAAAGAGGAAUUAAGCAUAAGGAUCACAGUUAAUAACACUGUAGUAAUACUGAAAAUUCAUUCAGAGUAGAUUUCAGGUACUCUCAAUCACGAAAGAAAAAUACGGUAACUAU